rnacentral:hammerhead_ribozyme from 1 species
GCUGAUGAGUCCCAGAUAGGACGAAACGCGCGUUC